AUACUUACCUGGCAAGGGAGAUACCAUGAUCAAGAAGGUGGUUCACCCAUUUCGAGGCUCAGCCAUUGCACUGAGGCUGUUGCUGACCCGAAAGCGAAUUCCCCAAAUGUGGGAAUCUCGAUUGCAUAAUUUCUGGUAGUGGGGACUAAGAUGGCUCUCCCUG
ensembl:snRNA U1 U1 spliceosomal RNA